CCUGGUAGCUCAGUUGGUAAAGAAUCUGCCUGCAAUGCAGGAGACCCUGGUUCAAUCCCUGGGUCAGGA
rnacentral:tRNA from 1 species